rnacentral:rRNA from 1 species
UACGUAGGGGGCAAGCGUUGUCCGGAAUCAUUGGGCGUAAAGAGCGCGUAGGCGGCCCUGUAAGUCCGCUGUGAAAGUCAAGGGCUCAACCCUUGGAUGCCGGUGGAUACUGCAGGGCUAGAGUCCGGAAGAGGCGAGUGGAAUUCCUGGUGUAGCGGUGAAGUGCGCAGAUAUCAGGAGGAACACCGAUGGCGAAGGCAGCUCGCUGGGACGGUACUGACGCUGAGGCGCGAAAGCGUGGGGAGCAAACAGG